rnacentral:rRNA from 1 species
GUACACUCCUGCGGGAGGCAGCAGUGGGGAAUAUUGGACAAUGGGCGCAAGCCUGAUCCAGCCAUGCCGCGUGAGUGAUGAAGGCCCUGGGGUUGUAAAGCUCUUUUGUGCGGGAAGAUAAUGACGGUACCGCAAGAAUAAGCCCCGGCUAACUUCGUGCCAGCAGCCGCGGUAAUACGAAGGGGGCUAGCGUUGCUCGGAAUCACUGGGCGUAAAGGGUGCGUAGGCGGGUCUUUAAGUCAGGGGUGAAAUCCUGGAGCUCAACUCCAGAACUGCCUUUGAUACUGAAGAUCUUGAGUUCGGGAGAGGUGAGUGGAACUGCGAGUGUAGAGGUGAAAUUCGUAGAUAUUCGCAAGAACACCAGUGGCGAAGGCGGCUCACUGGCCCGAUACUGACGCUGAGGCACGAAAGCGUGGGGAGCAAACAGGAUUAGAUACCCUGGUAGUCCCAU